rnacentral:lncRNA from 1 species
UCUGCCUCUCCCUCACCCUCGCCGCCCCACCGGCAGCCGAGGAGUAGAUUUGGGGAGGAGGAGGGUGGGGUUGGCUCUCGGCGACCGCCAACACCAGCAGCGCCGCCGCCGCCGCCACAGCGCUCCCAAAUUCGCCUCCGUCCGGCAUUCCGGCUCCUCAGCAGCCCUCGAGGCUUCGCGCCCCGCAGCGGGAAAGCAGGACUCUCCGGGCGCGAGCGUAAAAAUAUAAUAAUAAAGCGCGGAAGGGAGAGAGAGAGAGAGAAGAGCCGCCUCAGCGCGCCGCUACCACCAGCAGCAAGACCGGCGGCAGCGGCUUGUCUUGCUUGCUUCCUUCGCCAGCCUGGGAGCUCUGCCCGCAGCCGCUCGGAGGAGCCUCUUGGCAGCUUCCCGCGUCAAGGUGAUGGUGAACUGAAACAGGACUCUGUAUCAUGCCUUGAAUGGGGAGAAGGAAACUUUCCUUCCCUACCUCUCCAAAGUGUUGGGGGAGCCUUCUGAAUGCAGUGAGCUGUGGGGUACGUACAUAACUGAGAGGGAAGUGGAGAAGUAGCUGAAAAUUGGGUAUUGGGCUUUCCGUGAAUGGAAGCUCUGCUCAUGAAAGGUGUCUCUUCCCAGUUCCCCCUCCCCCUGCACUUUCCUAGUCAGGAACAUCCCCUAACUCUCAGGAGAGGAUCAUAGAACCAUAGAAUUGUUGAAUUGCAAGGGACCCCCCUUUGCAAUGCAGGAAUCGCAACUAAAGCAUCCAUGACAGAUGAC